CACUCCUACGGGAGGCAGCAGUGGGGAAUAUUGGACAAUGGGCGCAAGCCUGAUCCAGCCAUGCCGCGUGAGUGAUGAAGGCCCUAGGGUUGUAAAGCUCUUUCACCGGUGAAGAUAAUGACGGUAACCGGAGAAGAAGCCCCGGCUAACUUCGUGCCAGCAGCCGCGGUAAUACGAAGGGGGCUAGCGUUGUUCGGAUUUACUGGGCGUAAAGCGCACGUAGGCGGACUAUUAAGUCAGGGGUGAAAUCCCGGGGCUCAACCCCGGAACUGCCUUUGAUACUGGUAGUCUUGAGUUCGAGGGAGGUGAGUGGAAUUCCGAGUGUAGAGGUGAAAUUCGUAGAUAUUCGGAGGAACACCAGUGGCGAAGGCGGCUCACUGGCUCGAUACUGACGCUGAGGUGCGAAAGCGUGGGGAGCAAACAGGAUUAGAAACCCCGGUAGUCCCAU
rnacentral:rRNA from 1 species